rnacentral:lncRNA from 1 species
CUACAGCCUGGGCAACAGAGUGAGACUCCAUCUCCAAAACAAAAACAAAAACAAAGCAUGGGUACACUUUCUAAAUCCAACUAUUUAAAAUAUACACACAUGAAGAAAGACAAAGGAAAUACAUGAUGAAUUUGGUUAAGGUGGUGAGAUUGUAGGAGUUUUUUUCUUUUUCUAUUUCUAUUUUCCGAAUUUCCUAUGAUAUUUUAAAUUUCAAGUGUUUUCAUAAAGAAAAAUAAAAGUCUUCCCAAUUUUGAGCCAAAAUUUUCAACCUUAUUCCAUAUACACCAGCCUCACCCACCCACGGGGCCCCUUUCCAUGGGGGCAGCCAACCUUCCUAGGUUCUUGCUGCCCUAACUUGAUAGGAGACUAGUCCUGAGGAAGCCCCUGAGCUGUGUAGCUUUAAUAUCACUGAGUUAGCCCAAAGCCUACCAGGCAUUGUCUAGGUGCCUCUUUUUCAUUUUUCUUCCUCCCCUGGGGUGCAGUUUCACUCCCCUGCGUGGCUGCUACUCUAACAUCCUGCCUGGGCCUUGCCAGUACUCCUCCUCUUCUCAGGGGCUGAAUCCUAUUCCCCUUGUAAACAGUUUGCCCGGGCCGCUGUAACAAAGACCACAGAUGGAGAGGCUUAAUAACACUAAUGUAUUGUCUCACUGUUCUGGAGGCUGGAAGUCCACGUUCAUAGUAUCAACAGGGCUUGUUCCUUCUGAGGGCUGUGAAGGGACCUCUGUUCCAGGCCUCUCUCCUUGCCUUAUAAAUGUUCAUCUUCUCCCUCUGUCUCUUCACAUUGUUUCUCCUCUAUGUGUGUAUCUCUGUCCAAUUUCCCUCGUUUAAUAAGGACGCUCAUCAUUGGAUUAGGACCCCCCUAGCCCAGUAUUCCUCAUCUUGACUUGAAUAUAUUUACAAAGACCUUAUUUCCAAAUAAGGUCACAUUCUGAGGUACUGGGAGUUAGGACUUCAACUUAUGAAUUUGGUUGGGAUGGGGACACAAUUCCAUUCAUAUCCCCAGGUACCAAUGGAGCUUUGCUCCAAGAGAGAUAGACCACCCAGCUGGGCUCAGUGACUCAUGCCUAUAAUCCCA